rnacentral:rRNA from 1 species
UACAGGGGGUGCAAACGUUGCUCGGAAUUAUUGGGCGUAAAGCGCGCGUGGGCGGCCACUUAAGUCGGAUGUGAAAGCCCUUGGCUCAACUGAGGAAGUGCACCCGAAACUGAAUGGCUUGAGUACUAAAGAGGGUCGCGGAAUUCCCGGUGUAGAGGUGAAAUUCGUAGAUAUCGGGAGGAACACCGGUGGCGAAGGCGGCGACCUGGGUAGAUACUGACGCUGAGGCGCGAAAGCGUGGGGAGCAAACAGG